rnacentral:lncRNA from 1 species
ACACUUGAUUUUUUGCACGUUGAAUGGAUUUCCAAUUUGAAGAAGGGGAAAGGAUUAACGGAAGAAUAUAAAAAUUAUUCAUUUGGUUUCUCUGCAAUUUCGACCCGGGAAAGAGAAAUGGAAUGAGAGGAAAUGUACAUAUUCUAUCCUUUUGUUUUUAUUUUGUUUUUUCUUAUUCUAAUUGAAUUUCUUUUGUUCUAUUUAAUUGUUAUUUGCAUAUUCUGGUUGGAAAACUCAACUAAAUCCUUAUAUUAAAUUGUUUUUAUUAUUUUUAUGUGUUAAAAAAAAAGAACUAGAAAUAGAGAAAAAGGGGGCUCCCCAUCUAGUUUAUUUUUCUAUAUUUUUAUUAUUAAAAUUUAAUUAGGAUUUAAUUUGAUCCGGGACUUGGAUAACAUUAGAUUCCAUCAUUAUAUAUAUUGAUACUUCUAAAUAAUUAGUACACCCUUUCUAACUUCAAUUUUAUUUUUUAUUUUUUAUAAUUAUUAUUAUUAGAAAAAUAAAAAUAAAUACAAAGAAUUAACAUUCACUAUGGUUAAUUAGUUUUAUAAGAUUUUUUAGCAUAAUUUAGAUUAGGUAAUUUUGGAUUAUCAAUAUAAUGAGGAAACACCAAUAAAUCACAUCUCUUUUAUUUUUCUU